GACGAACGCUGGCGGCGUGCUUAACACAUGCAAGUCGAACGGAAAGGCCCUGCUUUUGUGGGGUGCUCGAGUGGCGAACGGGUGAGUAACACGUGAGUAACCUGCCCUUGACUUUGGGAUAACUUCAGGAAACUGGGGCUAAUACCGGAUAGGAGCUCCUGCUGCAUGGUGGGGGCUGGAAAGUUUCGGCGGUUGGGGAUGGACUCGCGGCUUAUCAGCUUGUUGGUGGGGUAGUGGCUUACCAAGGCUUUGACGGGUAGCCGGCCUGAGAGGGUGACCGGCCACAUUGGGACUGCGAUACGGCCCAGACUCCUACGGGAGGCAGCAGUGGGGAAUAUUGCACAGUGGGCGGAAGCCUGAUGCAGCAACGCCGCGUGCGGGAUGACGGCCUUCGGGUUGUAAACCGCUUUCGCCUGUGACGAAGCGUGAGUGACGGUAAUGGGUAAAGAAGCACCGGCUAACUACGUG
rnacentral:rRNA from 1 species